UGGGUCCCAUGGGAUUGUGUAUGUGCAA
rnacentral:piRNA from 1 species